CAGCAGCCGCGGUAAAACCAGCACCUCAAGUGGUCAGGAUGAUUAUUGGGCCUAAAGCCUACGUAACCGGCUCUGUAAGUUUUCGGUUAAAUCUGUACGCUCAACGUACAGGCUGCCGGGAAUACUGCAGAGCUAGGGAGUGGGAGAGGUAGACGGUACUCGGUAGGAGGGGGUAAAAUCCUUUGAUCUAUUGAUGACCACCUGUGGCGAAGGCGGUCUACCAGAACACGUCCGACGGUGAGGGAUGAAAGCUGGGGGAGCAGACCGGAUUAGAUACCCGGGUAGUCCCAGCUGUAAACUAUGCAAACUCAGUGAUGCAUUGGCUUGUGGCCAAUGCAGUGCUGCAGGGAAGCCGUUAAGUUUGCCGCCUGGGAAGUACGUACGCAAGUAUGAAACUUAAAGGAAUUGGCGGGGGAGCAC
rnacentral:rRNA from 2 species